UCAACAUAAAUCCAGAAUAUUAGCUAUGAAUCCACUCACUAUCAUGUUCUAAUACGUUGUAUCAUAAAUCCUUUGGCGAGACUAAACUUUCAACAUAGACAUGACAUGACAAAGAAAAGAAACUCUCGAGGUUACAGAACACAUUAUCCCGACAACCAUAGACAAAAACAAUGGAUCCAAAAUUUACCAAAAUAUCUCCAUUUAGACCUUUCACCAAUGGUGGUUGAAGAAGCUCAAGAAGAUGAGAAAGAGUCACCACUUUCUCCCAAGACUCCUUCAUAACCCAAACUCGAUAACCUCUUUCAUAAUUAAUAAAACAUAGCACACAAAGGAAACCACCAAGCACACCCACAAAGCCGUACUUCUCUUGAUCAAAGGGAAGCUCAAUAUUUCCAAACACCUCACUCUUCAAGUCCAAGAAAAUAAUAACUUUAUCAUGUCCGUCCUUCCAGUAAAGCUUCCCACCUGCAAACACCCCCGUUCUCAAAUAUGGAAGGAAAUAUGGGCAGAGCUCAAUUGUUUUCCAUGAUUUUGUCCUUGUAUUAUAAAUUCACCAACGCUGAAGUUAUAAUCAACCACAUUCACAAACACCCUGUACCCGACCAAAUCCGUAAUUAUCAAAAGAGUCGAGAUUAGAAAAAAAUUCUGGCAGUUUCUUGGAGAUUAUUCUAGUGGAUGGGUUCCAUAAGUGAAAUAUAUUUUCAUCAUUGAGAAUGUAGAGCAGCCCAUUACAGCACCCCAAGAUUAGAAAUCACAUCAAUGUACUAGUAUUCAUUGGAUAAGCUAAAGGAGAUAAAGGGAUUGUAUUCCUUUAUCAUCAAAAAAGCUAUGAAACCACUCACAAUCAUGUUCUAAGACUUGUUUCAUAAAUCUUCUGGCCAGACUAAACUUUCAACAUAGACAUCAUGUGAACUUGAAUCGACACAAUCCCCGUGGCUGCUGAACCCAGUAUCCUCACAACAGGAACAAUACUUGAGGUUGCGGAACACAUUAUCCCGACAAUCAUAGACCACCACAAUGGAUCCACAAUUUACCAAAAUCUCUCCAUUUAGACCUUUCACCAAUGGUGGUUGAAGAAGCUCAAGAAGAUGAGAAAGAGUCACCACUUCCUCCCAAGACUCGUUCAUAACCCAAACUCGAUAGCCUCUAAUUUGAUAAUUAAAACAUAGCACACAAACGAAACCACCAAGCACACCCACGUCAAUGUCGUACUUCUCUGGAUCAAUCUCUCCAUACAUCUUCUCUUGAUCAGAGGGAAUUUCAAUCCUUCCAAACACCUCACUCUUCAAGUCCAAGAAAAUAAUAACUUCAUCAUCGUCGUACAUCCAGUAAAGCUUCCCACCUCCAAACAGCCCCUCCCUGCAAAAUGGAAUGAAAUAUGGGCAGAGCUCAAUUGUUUUCCAUGAUUUUGUCCUUGUACUAUAAAUUUCACCAACGCUGGAGUUCCAUUCAACCACAUUCACAAACACCUUGUACUCAUCACUCGAUUCAACCCAACCGAAUCCAAAAUUAUCAAAAUCGUCGAGAUCAUUAACAAUUGAAAUUUCUGGCAGUUUCUUGGAGAUUAUUCUAGUGGAUGGGUUCCACAAGUGAAAUAUAUUCUCAUCAUUGACAAUGCAGAGCAGCCCAUUACAGCUCCCCACAAUGUCAUAUCCCAUCGGCAAUGUAGUAUUCGUUGGAUAAGCUAAACGAGAAAAUAAUGUAGUAUUCGUUGGAUAAGCUAAAGGAGAAAAAGGGAUAGUAUUUAUUGGUCCGCUCAAAACCGACAGCAGAGAACAUUGCUUAGGCCAUUCAAGCAAAUUCGUCUCUACAAUGAACCUUUGUUGGGUGAAAGAUGGGUUUUUCAUCGAAUUUUGGUGGUGUUUUUUUAUGAAUCUUUCGGUGCCAAUUAAAGAGCCCCAUGAUUUGGAAACGCACCUGAAUCUCAACAGUGAUUUCACCGGCAGUCUUGGCAGUAUUUCUCCAAUGAUUUCUUCCGGAAGAUGGAGAGAUUGGCUUUCGAUCUCCAUACCCAAUGCUGCGAUAUAUGUUUCUGAGGGCUAAGAAGAAAAAAAGAGGAAAGGGUCAAGAUGAGCAGCAUCUUUUUGUGGCAUUCUACCAAUUACUAAUAUUAAUUGAGGACAAUGUAUUAGAGCGGAAAGAGAGAGAAAAGAAGAGAGAUCAAAGAAGUUAUGAAAAUGAAAGCAUAAAUAGGAAAUAAAAGAAAUAAGAGAGAGA
rnacentral:lncRNA from 1 species